rnacentral:rRNA from 1 species
UGGACGACUCUCGGCAACGGAUAUCUCGGCUCUUGCAUCGAUGAAGAACGUAGCGAAAUGCGAUACCUGGUGUGAAUUGCAGAAUCCCGUGAACCAUCGAGUCUUUGAACGCAAGUUGCGCCCGAGGCCAUCCGGCCAAGGGCACGCCUGCCUGGGCGUCACGC